ACAUGCAGUCGAACGAUGAAGCCUCACUUGUGGGGUGGAUUAGUGGCGAACGGGUGAGUAACACGUGAGUAACCUGCCCCUGACUCUGGGAUAAGCGCUGGAAACGGUGUCUAAUACUGGAUAUGACUCAUGGCCGCAUGGUCUGUGGGUGGAAAGGGUUUACUGGUUGGGGAUGGACUCGCGGCCUAUCAGCUUGUUGGUGAGGUAAUGGCUUACCAAGGCGACGACGGGUAGCCGGCCUGAGAGGGUGACCGGCCACACUGGGACUGAGACACGGCCCAGACUCCUACGGGAGGCAGCAGUGGGGAAUAUUGCACAAUGGGCGAAAGCCUGAUGCAGCAACGCCGCGUGGGGGAUGACGGCCUUCGGGUUGUAAACCUCUUUUGGCAGGGAAGAAGCCUUUGGGUGACGGUACCUGCAGAAAAAGCACCGGCUAACUACGUGCCAGCAGCCGCGGUAAUACGUAGGGUGCGAGCGUUGUCCGGAAUUAUUGGGCGUAAAGAGCUCGUAGGCGGUUUGUCGCGUCUGCUGUGAAAUCCCGAGGCUCAACCUCGGGCCUGCAGUGGGUACGGGCAGACUAGAGUGCGGUAGGGGAGAUUGGAAUUCCUGGUGUAGCGGUGGAAUGCGCAGAUAUCAGGAGGAACACCGAUGGCGAAGGCAGAUCUCUGGGCCGCUACUGACGCUGAGGAGCGAAAGGGUGGGGAGCGAACAGGCUUAGAUACCCUGGUAGUCCACCCCGUAAACGUUGGGAACUAGAUGUGGGGGCCUUUCCACGGUCUCCGUGUCGCAGCUAACGCAUUAAGUUCCCCGCCUGG
rnacentral:rRNA from 1 species